AUUGUUUGGAGGGGACAGGGAGAGAAAAAAUGACAUUGAAAGUUUUUUCUUUAUUACUUCCAGAGGAAAAGAAAGUAAAAAGCACAAAAGUGGAAGCAAAAGUUAAAAAGGAAGUGAAAGAUGGAAAAGGUGAAGCAAAGACGGCCGAGAAGCUCAAGCAGGCAGAGAAUAAAACAACAGAAGUUGGGCUAAUAAAGGCCAAACCAAAAGUUAAGGAGGAGAAAGCUCUUCAAACUGUAACUAAAUCGGAAAAGAAAGGACAUAAAGAAAUGGUAUCACCUCAUCUUCUUCUAGAACAUAGUCCGAGGAAGAAGCCAGCAACUACUGAAGAAAAAGAAGGGGAAAAGAAAGCAACUCAUGUGAAGAGGGCUACCACUGAAACUAAGAAGAAAGGUAUGGUUUGGGAAAGCUUCUUAUUGGCCUCAUUCAGCUUUUAUUCCUGUGAGUGGCUCCAAUGUCAUUUUUAUUUGUUAGGUUACUCCUAUGCCUCUGGCUCUGUAAUGUCCUUCUCUUACUUUCUUACUCACUAUCUGCAGUGCACCGGCCUGCAUGUUACUUACUUCUUCAACCUCUGAUGUCUGGUGUCAUCAGUGUCUGACAUAUUCUGAAGUCUUUUCCUGACAAUAAAGACAUCCUGUUUGGUGGCUGUCCA
rnacentral:lncRNA from 1 species